rnacentral:rRNA from 1 species
UACGGGAGGCAGCAGUGGGGAAUAUUGCACAAUGGGCGCAAGCCUGAUGCAGCCAUGCCGCGUGUAUGAAGAAGGCCUUCGGGUUGUAAAGUACUUUCAGUCGUGAGGAAGGUGUUAAGGUUAAUAACCUUAGCAAUUGACGUUAGCGACAGAAGAAGCACCGGCUAACUCCGUGCCAGCAGCCGCGGUAAUACGGAGGGUGCGAGCGUUAAUCGGAAUUACUGGGCGUAAAAGGGCACGCAGGCGGUUAAUUAAGUUGGAUGUGAAAUCCCCGGGCUUAACCUGGGAAUGGCAUUCAAGACUGGUUAGCUAGAGUCUUGUAGAGGGGGUAGAAUUCCAUGUGUAGCGGUGAAAUGCGUAGAGAUGUGGAGGAAUACCGGGUGGCGAAAGGCGGCCCCUGGGACAAAGACUGACGCUCAUGUGCGAAAAGCGUGGGGAGCGAAAACAGGGAUUAGAUACC